ensembl:lncRNA
AGGUUAUAGGUAGAUAAAAUUAUUACAUACGUAUACCUACUUAUAUAUAUAUUCAUAUGUAUUUAUUAUAUGAAUACAUAUGUAUAUAUUUUUUGUAACUUACAUUUUCACAACAUUGUGCAAGUGCAAACAUGAAUGACGCUCGAAAUAUUCCCCAAGAGGAGCUAAAUAUUGCUGAUGUAAAAUUACAGUUUGAACAAAAAAAAUAUGAAAAUGUCAUUAAAUUAACUAAGAAUAUUUAUAAAAAUAACAACACCAAUGAGUAUAAUGAAUAUGUAGUAAAAGCUAGAUACUUUAGUCUUAUUGAAAAAGAAGAGUUUUCCAAAAUAAUUUAUGAAAUAUUACAUCGAUUGAUUGAUAAUGUUAAAAUAAACAAUAACGAAUAUGAGGACAUAAAGGAAGGUACAAAAAAAAAGAAUAAAAAAGGUAAGAAAAAACGCAGAAACAAACAGAAGAAUAGAAAUGAUGAAAAUAUUGGGAAGAGUGGAAAGAGUGAAAAGAGUGAAAAAAGUGAAAAUAAUAUAAAAAAAACAUUUAAAACACAUUUUCAAGAAAAUUAUAAAGAACUUAUGAAUAAAAACGUUUUAUUUGAGUUUUUAUAUUCUAUGUACAAAUUAAAUCAUUAUAAAAAAUUAAGUGGGUGCUUAAACUUUUUUAUAAAAAAUGAAGAGAAAUAUGAUUAUUUUAUAGAUAUAAUGUUAGCAGAUGCUAAUUUUAAAUUAGGUAAGUUUGAAACAUGUAUUAAUUCUUAUGAAGUAUUAUUAAAUAAUGAUAAAUCAAAACAAGUAGAAGCAGCAUGUGUUAAUUUGAAUAGUAGUUUAUUUUCUAUGUAUAUAAAAUUAAUUUAUGAAUAUAAUUUUUUAAAAUGUCCAAAAAAAAAAAAAAAAAAAUUAAAAUUAGAUACAAAUGAACAAUAUAAAGAUAUAAAAAAUUUGAAAGAACAUAUUAUGUCUACAAUUAAUGAUUUUAAUUAUGAUGAAAGUGAAUGUUUUGAAGAUUUAUUUAAUCAUGCUAUUUUUUUUACGAUAGAAAAGAAUUAUAAUAAUGCUUUAAAAUUUUUAGAUAGAAUAGAAUAUAUAUUAAAUACAAGUAAUUAUAUAAACGAACAGAAUAAUAAUACUAAUUACAAUCACAAGAUAAAUACAAAUAAUAUAUCUGAGAAUGUAAAUAAUUAUAAUAGUACUUAUAAAUCAAAUAUAUCAAAUUUGAAUAUAAAUAAAAAGGAUGAAGAAAAAAACAUAUAUGCAAUAAAUAAUGAAGAAGAAGUUGAUAUAAAAAAAAAAAUAGUCCAAGUAGAAAAAGCGUAUAUAUAUUCAAAAACAAAUAAACUAAAGAAAGCUAUAAGUAUAUAUGAAAGUGUAUUGAACGAUUAUUGUAACUUUAUUGAUAUUGACGGUAAGAAUGUUAAUAUUAACAAAAUUUGUACUAAGUCUACUGAAGGUACUAAGUCUACUGAAGGUACUAAGUCUACUGAAGGUACUAAGUCUAAUGAAUGUACUAAGCUUAAUGAAAGUACUAAACCUAGUGAAUAUAUUAAUGACAACAGUAGGUUGAAUAACUUAGUUAUUUUAAUCGCAUAUAAUAAUUAUUUAGCAUUAAUGUAUAAUACGAAAGAAACGAAUAUGGUAAACAAAACUUGUGGUAGUACUACUACUACUACUACUGCCACACCCGUUAUACGUUUUAACAUAACGUAUGAAAAAUUAACAAAAAUUAAAAAUCACAUUUUUUCAUAUAAAUAUAUACAAAACGAUUUAAAUCAAUUUAUUUUAAGUACUAUACAUUUUAAUGAAUGUAUACUAUGUUUAAACAAUAAUAAAAAAAAUGAAAUAAAAUAUAAAGCAGUUGAGGCUUUUUCAUCAAAAUAUAAUAAUUGUAUAUUGUUAGACAAAUUAAAUAUAUUAUUAUUAAAAGAAAAUAAAUAUAUAAAAUGUAAACAGUAUAUAUUUAACAACAUAGAUUUAAUUUAUUCAUUAAAAAAUAAAAUAAAAUUUAUUAAUACAUAUAUAUCAUUAUGUUAUGAAAAAAAAAAAUAUAAUGAAAUAAUAUCUAUUUAUUUAAAAUAUAAAUAUUUAUUUGAACAGGAUGCUAUAAAUUAUAGUAUUUAUUUUUCGAAUUUAUUUUAUUUGUAUAUAUGUGUGCGACAUUUAGAUGAUAGUAGUAAAAAACAAAAAAAAAAACAUAAUAAAACGAUUGAUCAGGAUGAAGAACAUAAAAGUAUAAAUAAUAGUGACACUUUAUUAAAUAAAAAAAACACAUCAAUAGAUAUUGAUAUUGUUAUAGAUUUAUUUGAAAAAUAUAAAGAUUUUAUACAAAAAAAUACACAAAUUAUAAAUUAUGAUACUCUUCUACUUGUUAGUAAAUAUCUUAUAUAUAAUAAUAAAACAGAUCUAGUGAUUAAUUUAUUUGAUAUUUUAUCUAAACCACUUAAUAAUAAUUUACAUUUUAUUUCUUGUUUUACAUAUAUAUAUACAUAUAUCAAUAUAAGUGAUGCUUAUAUAUAUGAAGACAAGUUAAAAAAAAUGGUAUUACAAGAAACUUAUUUAAUUGAUAUUGAUGAGUUGGAAAAUAAAAUGGUCACAUUUGAUUUAAUAAGUAAUAAUGAAAAUGCAUCUUUUAGUAUUGAAAAAAAUAAAAAAAAACGUAAAAGAGUAAAAAAAAAAAAAAUCGGAAAAAACAUAAACAAAACUAAUACUAAUUAUGACCCUGAAAAGUGGACACCAAAACAUGAAAAAACAGCAUUUAAAAAAUCCAAAAAAAAAAAACAAAAAACAGAACAAAAAACAGAAUCAGCAAAACCAAAAGUUAUUAUAGAAGAGCCUACCAAUAAUCAUAUUAAUCAGUCCAAGUUACAAAAUUUAAAACCUAGAAGGAAAAAGUGAUACUUUGUUUAAAUAUAGGAGGUGGUGGGGAAGUAGGUGUUAAACUUGUGACACGUUUGCAAUUAGGCAAACAAGAACAACAAACGCUUUUGAACGCCUUUGUCAUGUAGUAUAUGUAUAUGCACACACACACACAUAUAUAUAUAUAUAUAUAUAUAUAUUUGUAUAUAUUUGUAUAUAUAUAUGUUGAGAACAAAUUUCGUUGGUAAAUGAAAAACAUAUGUAAGUAAAUAAAUGCAUACGUAUAUAUGUAGAAAUUAAUGCG